GAGACAGCCCUCUGGGUCGUAAACUGCUUUUAUUCGGGAAUAAACCUCAUUACGUGUAAUGAGCUGAAUGUACCGAAGGAAUAAGGAUCGGCUAACUCCGCGCCAGCAGCCGCGGUAAUACGGAGGAUCCAAGCGUUAUCCGGAUUUAUUGGGUUUAAAGGGUGCGUAGGCGGCUUAUUAAGUCAGGGGUGAAAGACGGUGGCUCAACCAUCGCAGUGCCCUUGAUACUGAUGAGCUUGAAUACACUAGAGGUAGGCGGAAUGUGACAAGUAGCGAUGAAAUGCAUAGAUAUGUCACAGAACACCGAUUGCGAAGGCAGCUUACUAUGGUGUGAUUGACGCUGAGGCACGAAAGCGUGGGGAUCAAACAGGAUUAGAUACCCUGGUAGUCC
rnacentral:rRNA from 1 species